rnacentral:lncRNA from 1 species
CAAACGAAGCAGGAUGGGCAAUCUCCUGUCUUUGUGAAUAUGAAUGGACAAGCACAUGCUCAGAAUCAUCACAUCACCAGACGUAAAGAGGGAUAUCUGUAGACUGAAGGUUUACUUGUCAGGCUGCAAGGACAAACUGAGCAUGCAUAACCUGAACCCAUCACGAGGCGCAGCAUCAGUUGAACGUAGAGUUUGAUGUUUUCCAUUAGACUAGUGGAAAGAAUGGCCUCUACAUUGGAAGACGUCCGUAGUGUAUGCAUUUCAGAGCAUUCCCAACUUCUUUGUACAAGCUCAGUGAAAUAGGACAGUAAGUAACAUGAUUUUCACACAGAAGUCAAAUCAUAUGUCUUCAGAAGUAAUUAAAUAUGUGAAUUCAUAGUUCAGUUUAAAUAAGCCUAUGACAAUUAGUAAUCCAGAGUUAACAGAAGAUUAACUCAACAUUUAUUAACAUUUAUAUGCUAACAGGAAAAUAUUUCACAUAUGAAUUAGGUAUGGUUCUGCUCAAGACUAAAUGUUUGCCUGCUCUGAUGUUUUAGUAGUAGAAUGAAGAGUAGUUUUAUGUUGAGCCAAAUUAGAGUAGAAAAAGUGCACUGCGUUAAAACAGUCUUGUUCAAACCUUCCUGCUCCCAGUGUGGGAACAUAUUAUUGAAUGCAAGAGCCAUCCUACUACCUUCUCAGUAUCAGCAAAGAUAAAUAAAGUCAAAUUAUUUUGUAGAGUGCA